rnacentral:tRNA from 1 species
ACCUGGGUGGCUCAGUCGGUUAAGCAUCUGACUUCAGCUCAGGUCAUGACCUUACGGUUCGUGGGUUCGAGCCCCACAUCAAGCU